rnacentral:rRNA from 1 species
GACGAACGCUGGCGGCGUGCCUAAUACAUGCAAGUAGAACGCUGAAGAGAGGAGCUUGCUCUUCUUGGAUGAGUUGCGCACGGGUGAGUAACGCGUAGGUAACCUGCCUGGUAGCGGGGGAUAACUAUUGGAAACGAUAGCUAAUACCGCAUAAAAUUGAUUAUUGCAUGAUAAUUAAUUGAAAGAUGCAACUGCAUCACUACCAGAUGGACCUGCGUUGUAUUAGCUAGUUGGUGAGGUAACGGCUCACCAAGGCGACGAUACAUAGCCGACCUGAGAGGGUGAUCGGCCACACUGGGACUGAGACACGGCCCAGACCCCUACGGGAGGCAGCAGUAGGGAAUCUUCGGCAAUGGGGGGAACCCUGACCGAGCAACGCCGCGUGAGUGAAGAAGGUUUUCGGAUCGUAAAGCUCUGUUGUAAGAGAAGAACGGGUGUGAGAGUGGAAAGUUCACACUGUGACGGUAUCUUACCAGAAAGGGACGGCUAACUACGUG